GACGAACGCUGGCGGCGUGCUUAACACAUGCAAGUCGAACGGAAAGGCCCUGCUUUUGUGGGGUGCUCGAGUGGCGAACGGGUGAGUAACACGUGAGUAACCUGCCCUUGACUUUGGGAUAACUUCUGGAAACUGGGGCGAAUACCGGAUAGGAGAUCUUGCUGCAUGGUGGGGGUUGGAGAGUUUCGGCGGUUGGGGAUGGACUCGCGGGUUAUCAGCUGGUUGGUGGGGUAGUGGUUUAACAAGGCUUUGACGGGUAGCCGGCCUGGGAGGGUGACCGGCCACAAUGGUACUGAGAUACGGCCCAGACUCCUACGUGAGGCAGCAGUGGGGAAUAUUGCACAACGGGCGGAAGCCUGAUACAGCAACGCCGCGUGCGGGAUGACGGCCUUCGAGUUGUAAACCGCUGUCGCCUGUGACGAAGCGUGAUUGACGGUAAUGAGUAAAGAAGCACCGGCUAACUACGUG
rnacentral:rRNA from 1 species